AUCACUACUUGGCCUUUUGGCUAAGACCAAGUGUAGCAUCUGUUCUUAUCAGUUUAACAAUCCCUGGCACCACAUGGUAUUUAUUGACUCACAAACCCAGGAGUGGUCCUGAGCACUACAGCUAUGGCCCGCUCACCCCCA
rnacentral:snRNA from 1 species